rnacentral:rRNA from 1 species
UACGGGGGGGGCAAGCGUUGUUCGGAAUUACUGGGCGUAAAGGGCUCGUAGGCGGCCAACUAAGUCAGACGUGAAAUCCCUCGGCUUAACCGGGGAACUGCGUCUGAUACUGGAUGGCUUGAAUCCGGGAGAGGGAUGCGGAAUUCCAGGUGUAGCGGUGAAAUGCGUAGAGAUCAGGAAGAACACCGGUGGCGAAGGCGCUCUGCUAGGCCGCAACUGACACUGAGGGACGAAAGCUAGGGGAGCGAAUGGG